UGGGGAAUUUUGGACAAUGGGCGAAAGCCUGAUCCAGCCAUGCCGCGUGAGUGAAGAAGGCCUUCGGGUUGUAAAGCUCUUUUAGUCGGAAAGAAAGAGUUGCAAUGAAUAAUUGUGAUUUAUGACGGUACCGACAGAAAAAGCACCGGCUAACUACGUGCCAGCAGCAGCGGUAAUACGUAGGGUGCGAGCGUUAAUCGGAAUUACUGGGCGUAAAGGGUGCGCAGGCGGUCUUGCAAGUCAGAUGUGAAAGCCCCGGGCUUAACCUGGGAAUUGCGUUUGAAACUACAAGACUAGAGUGCAGCAGAGGGGAGUGGAAUUCCAUGUGUAGCAGUGAAAUGCGUAGAGAUGUGGAAGAACACCGAUGGCGAAGGCAGCUCCCUGGGUUGACACUGACGCUCAUGCACGAAAGCGUGGGGAGCAAACA
rnacentral:rRNA from 1 species